UUCUGGUCUUGAAACCUAAUCCUCUAAUCGCUGCGAGCCUGCGAGCUGCAGCUGGAGGGCCGCCGCCGGGGUCGCCGCUUCCCCGCCGCCAGGGCUGCCGCUUCCCCGCCGCCGGGGCUGCCCCUCCCAUCGCUGCGGCCGGAGAGCUCGUGCUUGAGCCCAUCUUGCUGGUGCCGCUACUCCCCCGGCGCUGGGCCGCAGCCGCCGCCGCUAGGAGCUCGGGCACCCGCAUCUCCGGCGUCGCAUCCCAGCUAUCCUCUCUAGGUGAGCAUCUAUUCGCGUUUGCUUCUUUUUCCCCAGGGAGGACACAGAUCCUUGGAGGUCAACUCUUGCCGUGAUCAAUCGAUCGAGCAGCGAGCCGAACGGACGUCCCCGUCCGCUCCGGCGGCUAGCUGGAUGGGCUCGGCGCCGACCGCUGGUGGUCGCGUACGUGCCGACCCCCACCACGAACUGCGCCCGCAUCUCGCGCUGUCGCCGGCCAGGCCGGGACCGUCCCGAUCGAAGAAUUAUCCGCGCGCAUACUGUACGGGCGCCGGCCAAAUCCCCCGGCAACCCCAUCUCCGAUUCUCCUGCUAUGGCAGACUGGCAGCAUGUGCCCCUCCUCCGUCCCGCCUCGCGACCGAGAGCACCCCGCCGCCGCCGGCAGCAAGGCACAUGUCGCGUACAUAGUAGGAGUAGAAUCGUACGGUGGGCUCAUGGCGAUGCCCCGGCCACAACUAGGGUGACCCAACUCACGCGGCCUCCACUUGCAACCCCUAUUGCCAAUUGCCAUGCCGUUUAGAAAAAAAUACUCCAUUGGCUCUCUUUCUCUAUCCCCACUAGCAAUUCAGCACUUGAAAAAAAUUACUUUUUACCAUUACUUGUCCUAUACUUGUUAAGAUUUAUAUGCACUAUCAGUCUAACUGAUAUGCAAUUGAAGAAGAACUGCUGAGAUGUCUAACUGAUUGGGAAAUAAGAGAGAAGAUCUUUACCUUGACAUUAGACAAUGCUAGCAACAACACGACUGCAUGUGAGCUGUUAGUAACAGAUUGCAAGUAUGACCUAAUGUUUGGCGGAGAUCAUCUACAUGUUAGAUGUUGUGCCCACAUACUUAACAUCUUGGUUCAAGAUGGGAUGAGGACAAUACAUUCAGCAAUCAAACUGAUACGUGAGCUAUUAAAACACAUUGACUCAUCGCUAUCACUCCAAGCAUUCAAUUCAAUUGCAAAUGGAAAGGGUGUAGCCUCAAAAGCUGGUGUCUAUCUUGAUGUUCCAACCAGAUGGAACUCUACCUACAAAAUGAUUAGAGAAGCAUCGGAUUACAAGGCUGUCCUAAAUGCUUAUGCUUCAAAAUAUUUGGAAGUUUGUCCUAAUGAAGAAGAAGGGAUGAAAGCGGAAGCAAUUUGUGAGUCUCUCAAAGCUUUUGAAGAUCUCACUCUUGCUGUUUCAGCCGACAGGAAACCAACGGCACACAUGUUUCUGCCCUUAGUCCUUUGCAUCCAGCAUGCACUAAAGGUAGACCCAGCCUUGCAGUCAACUGACUUGCUGAAGGAGUUGGCAUCAUCCAUGUGUUCUAAAUUUGAGAAGUACUGGGAGCCAGAUGAAGCUAACCCUCAAAGUAAAGAUCACAACCCCCUUAGAAAAAAAUAAGGAAAUUGCAUUUAACCUUGCACUAGUCAUUGACACUUUAUUAGAUCCAAGAAAGAAAAAACUCUAUUUGGAUUUCUUUUUCAAGAAGGUGUGCAAAAAUGUAGAUCAGAUUGGUACUCGUGUGGAAUUUGUCUUGGUGUGGAUGAGAAAGUAUUUCACAUUGUAUGAGCAAAAGAAUACAAGGACAAGCUGCACAAAUACAAGUACUUAACAUAGUAUGAGCGGUAGCAAUAUCAUGGGCUCACCGGCUCUAGGGAAAAGAAAAAUUGAUGCCUAGUUUGCUUAGUACAGGUCUGAAGUGAUGCUUUCACAGUCCCAAAAAUCUGAGAUUGAUACUUGGAAGAAGAGCCUGAAAAUAACAUAGAAGAUUUUGAUGUUCUAUCUUGGUGGAGAAGCAAAGCUACAAAGUUUCUAGUUCUUUCAGCUAUGGCUCGGGACUUCCUUGCAAUUCCUCUUAGCACGGUGUCAUCCGAAUCUGUUUUCAGUUUAGGGGGAAGGAUUCUUGGAGAUCAUAGAAGCUCACUAACUCCAGAAAUUCUUGAGGCCCUUGUCUGCGCGAAAGAUUGGCUAUGUAAGACCAAAGAUCCUGAAUUCUGUUCUGAUGGUGAAGGUUCUGAGCAAGAGUAAAAGUAUCACCUCAAUGAAGUCCCUGGUGAAUUUAAGCAUAUCAUAAUUGGGGUCUUCUACUUUGUGGGGUUUGGGCUGUUCUGUUUGGAGCCCUGCUAAGCAUUGCAGUUCUUCAGGUACUUGUUCCACCCAGUACAAAGGCACUCAAGUGGUGCUCUCAGUUUAGAAGAUCAUCCUUGUUUCCUCAGUUUUAUUUAUCAAGGAAGCUAACCUCUGGUCCAUCAUCUCAACUUCAAAUAUGUGGCAUUGGUUCUGCAAUUUGCAAUAUGAACUAAGUAUUGUGAUCAGCCUUUGUGCAAUAUGAACUCAAUGUAGAAGUCAUUUUAUAUUCAGAUCUCAAGUUUCAUGUAUUAUCUUUGUUUUUUCUACUUUACUUGAUCCCGAUGGCUCACAUGGUCACAUUGAUCCAAAGCUUAAACACUUAGGUUCCCUGUCCA